rnacentral:lncRNA from 1 species
AUGAAACUAUUAGCUUUGGAAGAAAUUGAGCGUCAGAUUGAGGAGGAACGACAGGCUGAUGAACGAUGUCACCAAUUGGAUGUGCAGGCCCGUAGAGCUCUACAGGAACGGGAAUUCAUUGCCAAGGACCUGGCACAGCAGCGAAGGCACCGUCAAGCCAGAAGGGAAUUGGAGGAGGCACGGAUGGUAUCAUCCUUCCUGGAGAGGAACGAACAGGGAGUUGACCUGACCACCCCUCCACAUGGACCUGAACUGUCUGCCUUUCUUUCCCAAUCUGCCCCUCUGGUACAGCAUGGCACACAGUCCCCGGAGGCUCCGCGGUCAACAGCCAACACGGAGCACGGGAGACAGGCCGCUCCGCCAACGCCCUCUAUGCCAGUGACACAAGUUAGCAUUCCUCCAUCUGGACAAAGCAUCACUCCUUCGCCUUUCCACCAAUUACCAACCAAGGCAAAUCGUUCCUUUCGUCCUGGGCCAGACCAGUCCUCAAACAACAGGUCGGAGGGCUCUCGCCCAAUUCCGGCUGCCACAAAUGGUGGGUCUGGGAAAGUAGGGGACCGGCCCAAUGAGGCCACAGUGGGAUCAUCAGAAGUCCCGGGUUUAUCCUUCACGCAACCAGAAGAGGGAGCCAACAUUAUGAAACUUCUAGUAGCCUCAGCCUAUGGAAUUCCCAGACCCAAACUGCCAUACUUUGAAAACGGAAAGGAGAGUGAAUUUGUCCUUUUGGAAAUGGCAUUGGAGAGCCUACUGGGUAUUCACAGUCAUCUGUCAGAACGCUACAAAUACCAAGUACUACUGGAUCAUUUGCGGUUUCCCAGUGCAUACAGGCUGGCCCAAUCCUUUAUGCACUCCGCAACACCAUACACUGCUGCUCUCCAGGCCCUGAAGGUGAGAUAUGGUGAGCCACGUCAGCUAGUCCAGAAUGAACUAAACAACAUCCUGAACACAUCUCCAAUUAAAAUGGGAGACCAUGCUGCCUUCCAAGAAUUCUCCCUGGCUGUCCAAUCCCUGACCUCGAUGCUCCAAUCCGUUGAAGGAGAAGACGGGAACGAGCUGAAAUGUGGCUCCCACGUGGACAGGCUUCUUAGCAAACUUCCAGUGUACCUCAGAGACAGUUUCAUUGAACAUUGUUUGAAUAAGGGCAUCCUGAAAGAGGGCUCGAGAAGCACCUAUGCUCUUAGAGACCUGGCCGCAUGGUUGGAGGUGAAGGCGAAGAGCAUCGCUCACCAGGCCACAAUCUCAGCCAUAGCCACCGGGGGAAGGAAGGAAUUUGAACACCAGGAGGGACAGAAAAGGCCAAAUCCCACUACCAUGUACUUAAAUAGUGAGGCCCGGGAGGAACCCGGGAAGAAGACCCCUCUCAAGAGCAAGAACAUCAAAUUCCAGCCUUACUGCCCAUAUUGCAAUAGUAAGGGGCACUUCCUUGGCUCAUGCCCCAGGGUAAAAAAGCUCACUCAAACUCAAUUGAAGGCCUGGAUCACUUCAGGCGAGCGAUGCUACAAGUGUGCCCGUAGCCAUAAGGCGGAGACCUGCACAUUGAGGAAACCCUGCAACCACUGUAAAGGAAUCCAUCUCACCGUGUUGCAUGAUCUAAUUCCGCAAGCACAGAAGGAGCAGAAUAUGCUCAUGGUAGGAGCUGCAAAGGAGCUGUACCUCGACCAGCAGAACCGGUCUCCAAGGGUCAUGUUGAAGGUGGUCAAGGUCACUCUGAAAAGUGAAGGGAGAAGCAUUGAUACAUUCGCUGUUCUAGAUGAUGGGUCAGAAAGAACAAUCAUUCUCACGGCGGCCACCCGUCAGCUUAACCUGGAGGGGACCCCCGAGACCCUUAAUCUCAGAACGUUGCGACAUGAUGUUAUCCAAAUGAAAGGCUCUGCUGUAACAUUUAGCAUUUCACCUUCAGGAAACAGGGACGUGGCCUAUAACAUCACCAAUGCCUUCACGGCAGAUGGCUUGAAUCUCGCAGAGCACUCCUGCCUGGUAAGUCUUCUACAGAAACAAUAUCCUCAUCUACGAGGAUUGCCUCUUCCUAACCUGGCCAGAGUAGCGCCACUUAUCCUGAUUGGGUCAGACCACCCACAUCUCGUUACCCCGACUGAGCCUAUACGAGCUGGACCAGAAGGAGGGCCCAUUGCUGUCCAUACAUCCUUGGGUUGGGCUGUGCAAGGUCCAUCCCAUCUACUUCUCUCCACCCAAGCUGUACAGUCACAGCAAGUCCUCUUCACCAGAAGCAAUCCAGAUGCAGCCACUAACCUCCUGCGGAAUGUUGAGAUGCUCUGGAAGAUGGACACAUUCUCCAACCGGAAGCUACAGGAGGUCACUCGCUCGAAACAUGACUCCUAUGCAUUAGACCUCCUGGAGAAGAGCACCACCACCACUGAAAUGGAUGGCGUUUGCAGGUAUGCAACCCCACUGCUACGGGUGCCCAACCAUCCUCCUCUGGCAACCACGACACGGGCUGUACUCCCACUACUGCGUGGAACGGAGCGACGCCUGGUGAAGAAUCCUGAGCUUGCAGAAGUUCAUAACCGAGAGAUUCAUAACCUUGUGAAGGCAGGCUUGUCCCAACCAGAGAACGAGUGGCCGACAGCCCCCAGGCGUACGGCCCCUCCGCAACCAACUGAAGCUUAUGAGUUAAGGAGGUCCGCCCAAUGCUACAGCAUUUCUACGGAACCAACAACGGCUCUCCCUGACCUAACACAAUCCCAAACACUGCCGGAUCUGAUCACUGCCACAAACCAGACCUCAGAUGGGGUGGCUUCUAUACCUACCUCCCUCGCGGCAGAGACACUACUCCAGCAAGCACAAGCAGUUAGCUUCCCUGAGGAGUUAAAAGCUCUGAAAGCCGGUAGGGAAGUGGCUAAGGACAGCCAUCUUCUCUCUCUUGCCCCAGAAUAUGAUCCAAUCCUUGGAGUGAUCAGAGUCGGAGGGAGGCUGCGCCAAGCAGAGGUUUUGGACCCAGAUGCUAUCCACCCAAUUAUCAUUGACUCCAAACCCUUGGGAUAUCUCUCUGCAGACAUCGCUGACCCCGAUCCGGUUACACCGAAUAUGCUCUUGAUGGGACGCCGAGAUGCGUCACUUCCUCAAGCCAUGUAUGCUGAUACCAACCUCGUAGGCAGACGCCGGUGGCGACACAGCCAAAUCUUAGCUGACCAUUUUUGGGCCCGAUUCAUUCGGGAUUACCUACCAAGUCUACAGCACAGAGGGAAAUGGCGGAGAGAAAUGGCCAGCCUGGAAACUGGCCAAGUAGUAAUGAUGGUGGACCCUCAGCUGCCUCGAGCCUCCUGGCCGGUGGGCCGUAUAACUAAGACUAUGCCUGGGACCGAUGGUCGUGUUAGAUCAGUGAAGAACCGGACAUAUAUCCGGCCAGUUGCCCGACUAAUUCCUCUCCCUGAGAUGACAGAGGACGGGUAG